UCUUGUCAAUGGUCUACAAAUGUCAUACGA
rnacentral:piRNA from 1 species